rnacentral:rRNA from 1 species
AGCAGCCGCGGUAAUUCCAGCUCCAAUAGCGUAUAUUAAGGUUGUUGCAGUUAAAAAGCUCGUAGUUGAAUUUCGGGAUCAAUUAAUUGGUCGUGCCUAUGGUACGUACUGAUUUUAUUGGUUUCUCCCUUCUGACGAACCAUGAUGUCAUUAAUUUGGUGUCGUGGAGAAUCAGGACUGUUACUUUGAAAAAAUUGAGUGUUUAAAGCAGGCUAACGCUUGAAUACAUUAGCAUGGAAUAAUGAAAUAGGACGUUUGAUCCUACUUUGUUGGUUUCUAGGAUCGACGUAAUGAUUAAUAGGGA